AUUGAACGCUGGCGGCACGCCUAACACAUGCAAGUCGAGCGGCAGCGAGAGUAGUAGCAAUACUACUUGUCGGCGAGCGGCGGACGGGUGAGGAACACGUAGGGACCUGCCUUAGAGCGGGGGACAACCAAGGGAAACUUGGCUAAUACCGCAUAAUCUCGAGAGAGAAAAGCUGCCCGCAAGGGUGGCGCUUUAAGAGGGGCCUGCGUCCGAUUAGCUAGUUGGUGAGGUAACGGCUCACCAAGGCGAUAAUCGGUAACUGGUCUGAGAGGACGACCAGUCACACUGGGACUGAGACACGGCCCAGACUCCUACGGGAGGCAGCAGUGGGGAAUCUUGGACAAUGGGGGCAACCCUGAUCCAGCGAUGCCGCGUGGGUGAAGAAGGCCUUCGGGUUGUAAAGCCCUUUAGGCCGGGAAGGAGGGUGGCAGUUUAAGAGACAGUCAUUUUGACGGUACCGGCAGAAUAAGCACCGGCAAACUCUGUGCCAGCCGCCGCCGUAA
rnacentral:rRNA from 1 species